rnacentral:lncRNA from 1 species
CAAUAACCUUUUGUUUUUAGCUGUAUAAAGCAAUGUGACCGUUGGUCUCACCAGAAAAUUCAAAGGAUAUUUUGCAAGUGAAGAGUGAUUUCGAGCUGAAGCUUUGAAUCAAUUGCUUUCCUCCAAUCUGCUAAUAUCAAACUGGUCAGGCACCAGAUUUUCACGGUCAUCACAUUGGUGACAUCCUGUAACAUUUCGUGGAUUUCUGGUUCAGAUUUUUUGUUUCAACGACGACCUUGUGACUGAUGCAGUCAGUGAAUGUCACAGGAUCAAAUCCGGGAUACCAUGUUACCAAAAUAGUCAAUAGUCAAUGCCACAUAAUAAUUUUGUGAAGUUUGUUUAGUUAAAACUAAAUAAAAUUUGGCACUCCAGUUCACCAAGAACGAGUUAACUGAAAAAUGUUACAAGAGGCUAAAAGCAAAGAUGUCUUUGUCACUCUCCUCAGUGUUGUGGAAUCAGGGCUCACUCUUCUGCUGCACUUGAAAUGAGGCCAUUUCAUUUCAAUCUCGUGGACUGAAUGAGGAGCCAACCUCCUUAUGUUUAGCAAACAUUAGGGAAACUUUCUUUCUUCCUUGUUUCUCCUUUUUUAAAGGCAAAAAUAUGUAUAUGUAAAAAUUCUCAAAUUUCCUUUCCAUAGCAAGUGUCUUUGCUCUAAAGAGAGGGCCAGUGGAGGUCUUUCAUAGCCCAGAGUGCAGCAUGCCGUUUGUGAAACACUGCUCUGUACUACAUUCAUGCUCCUCUGCUUGUCCGGAGAAUUUAAUCUAAACUCUCACUAACAUUAAUAAGGUCUAAAGUAGGAAAACUGGACAGUUUCGAUGUCUUGUUCACUACUGGCCGUUUCACGUGAAUUAUUGAUAGGUAAUACACAAUUAUUGAGUCAUCUAUUAAGGCAGUUGUAUACACAAAUAAGUUUCUCCAGGAAACACUGCUUAAACCAUUCCUCAACAAAUUGUUAAAUUUUGUCAGGUGGUGUAGGACAAAACCUGGGGGCUGGGGGCAGGAUAGCCCGGUGGCACCCCUUCUGGCAUCAGAAAGGCUGCCUAAUCCCCAUGAUUGGGCUGCCCCUCUGUUUUCACUACUGAGACUGGAAAUUAAAUCCUUGAUAGCUAUGGCAUUCAUUUAUUGAAAGAACAGGUAAUGUAGUGGAUACUGUCUUGUAUCCUUCAAGAAGGGGGGAUUAUCUCCCAGCUGCUGGGAAUGUGCUGGAAGAAGGCCCUUACCAUUGACCCUCUCUGGAGAUUGCCUCGGCAGAAGAAAACCACCUCACCCAAGGUCGCCUGCUUCCAGGGACAGCCAGCAUCCAGGGACUGAUCAGUUGGGGGUAUGAAGACCCUUGCCCCAUCUUGGGACCACUCCGAGGGGCCGUCGCAGCUUCAGAGCUCCCCACAGGGCGGACUGAGGCUUUGCUGGGAAUCCAUCACAGAUCAACUGCUCCUUCCGCCCAGUCCUGCUUCCCUCCCCUUCCUCUCCAAGAGAACUCCUUCAUAAUCGCCCCUCACACCGGCUCUGCGCAGAAGCUGCUUCCAGAAAAUCAACCUGCCAUGUAGGCAUGUGCAUAGGAUCCAGCAGACAACCAGAGCCAGAGAGGUGAUGGAACUGUGAAAUGGAAGGAGCUCUGAUCCCUGAAUGACUGCACAGACUGGCAGGCCGCCCUCCUGAUUGUGGUUCCUUCUGAGCGUGGUUACAUCACUACCUGUCAUCCCAGCAUGCGAAUACGCCUGCCACCCACUGCGGAAACUCACCAACACGAUGACCCAGAGGAGACAUGACGGGGUCCUACACCACCCGGGGGAGAAAUAAGGUUUGAAAUGCACAGAGCCAUGAACUGGCCUGUGGAAAAUCCUUCCAAACAUCAGGCGCGUAAAAUGCUGAACCAACAUGGCAGGCAUCCCUGUCAGGGUUUGUACUUGAUGAUGCAGUUAUACAACUGUAAGUGCACAUUCAAUUUGUUCUUUUUUAAUGAGAAUUUCACAAAAUAGAAAUGAUCACAAUUCCUGUAGUUGGAGGGCAACUAUCGUGGUGCUAUAAAUAGGGAGGGAGGACAUUUUUAAUAGCUCAGAUACGAAAGAGACUGGAAAGGGGUUUUUCCAAGUUUAACAACAAUCCUACGAAUUUACAUGAUAUUACCAGUAAUGGUGGAGAAGGUGAGAGAAACUCUUCUAAACUACCAAUUAUAAAACCACACUCUGAUGGAGCAUGCUAAAAGAAAUGACUGAGUUAUCUUUCUCUUCUCUCUAUAAAAAUACUACGAAAUUUUAUAAAGAGGUAUUGAAAAGUCUAACAAAGGCGGGGGGCGAGUGUCACGGAGUGGCCUCCGGCAGUUAAGAACAGUGUGUCAUUUUCCGGAUCAUGUGAUGUUUGUAGCAUUUAUCAGCUUCCCUCAAUUUGUGAUUUCUUUUUUCAUUCUAAGUUCACCUUCAUCUCAAGUUUUGUAUUUGUAAUUUUGGAUUAUUUUUCUCAAAGGAGUCCUCAAGACAGUCCCCACCAAAGCUGGAUCUGCCUGGAUACAUAAUGUUUUGCCAUCAGUGACUCACCUUCAUGUCAGGGUCCCCGAGCUAAGGACAUUGCCCUGCCGCACAGCGCCUGUCCCACUCCCCCAUUCCUCACCCAACCGGCCUCUGGGGCAGUACCCUACUUCCGCCGCCCUUCACGUCCCAGCAUCACUCCAGGGUUCCUGCUGCCUGCCUCUCCUCAGGAGCCGCUGGGCCCCAAAGACGCGAGGUUCCAGAUCCCUGGAAACUGUGGGUGUUAUCUUCUAUGGAAAAAAGGACUUUAUGUGAUUAAGUUAAGGGUCUUGAGACAGGAGAUGACCCUGGCUUACCCCAGUGGGCCAUAAAUAUUCUUCUAACAGGGAGGCAGAGGGAGAUGUGACACAGACAGAAGGGGAGGAGGCAAUAUGAGCACAGAGGCAGAAACUGGAGUGGCCACCAGAAGCUGGGAAAGGUGAGCAAACAGGUUCUCUCCCGGGGCCUCUGGCGGGAGCGGCCCUGCUGCCGCCUCAGUGUUGGCCCAGUGCAACCGAUUCUGGAUUUCUGGCUUCCCAAGUGUGAAAGCAGGAAGGUGUGUUAUUUCAAGCCACCUGGUUUAUGAUAAUUUGUUACCACAGGAAACUAACAGACCCUCCCAACUCACAGUCCAUUCUAAACCAGCCAAACUUCCUACAAUCAAAUAACUUCGGGUUCCACUUUUCUGGUCGCAAGACCCCUUUCCUAAGGCCCUCCACCCACUUCUUCUUGCCCCAUUUACCACGUUCCUUUUACCCACAGGGGACUUGAAGCCCCCCUGUGAGAGGUCAUGAGCCCCCACUCGUGCCUCGGCAGCCCAGCAGCCAUGACAUCCUUGAAGUGGUGCCUCCAGUGGAGCCCUAAUGGGUGAGGGGCAAAGUCUCUCUCCCGUUAGUGCUUUCCUCUGCCCUGACUCCAGCCCUUUCCCAGGGACUCUCUUCUAUGGAGGCUGUGUGCUUCCGCAGUCACUUACCCCACCAAUAAAACAAAAAACUGUUAAAACCUGCUCCUCUAAGUUCUUACCUUCCUAGGGAAGAAUAAUUGUAUCUUCUCC